rnacentral:rRNA from 1 species
AGUGAACGCUGGCGGUAGGCCUAACACAUGCAAGUCGAACGGCAGCACAGUAAGAGCUUGCUCUUACGGGUGGCGAGUGGCGGACGGGUGAGGAAUACAUCGGAAUCUACUUUUUCGUGGGGGAUAACGUAGGGAAACUUACGCUAAUACCGCAUACGACCUACGGGUGAAAGCAGGGGAUCUUCUGACCUUGCGCGAUUGAAUUAGCCGAUGUCGGAUUAGCUAGUUGGCGGGGUAAAGGCCCACCAAGUCGACGAUCCGUAGCUGGUCUGAGAGGAUGAUCAGCCACACUGGAAGUGAGACACGGUCCAGACUCCUACGGGAGGCAGCAGUGGGGAAUAUUGGACAAUGGGCGCAAGCCUGAUCCAGCCAGACCGCGUGGGUGAAGAAGGCCUUCGGGUUGUAAAGCCCUUUUGUUGGGUAAGAAAAGCAGCAGGUUAAUACCCAGCUGUUCUGACGGUACCCAAAGAAUAAGCACCGGCUAACUUCGUG